rnacentral:rRNA from 1 species
ACUACGGGUGGCAGCAGUGGGGAAUAUUGGGCAAUGGGCGCAAGCCUGACCCAGCAACGCCGCGUGAAGGAAGAAGGCUUUCGGGUUGUAAACUUCUUUUGUCAGGGAAGAGUAGAAGACGGUACCUGACGAAUAAGCCACGGCUAACUACGUGCCAUCAGCCGCGGUAAUACGUAGGUGGCAAGCGUUUUCCGGAUUUACUGGGUGUAAAGGGCGUGUAGACGGGUUGACAAGUCAGUUGUGAAAUCCUGCGGCUUAACCGUAGAACUGCAUUUGAUACUGUUAGUCUUGAGUACUGGUGAGGCAGAUGGAAUUCGUAGUGUAGCGGUGAAAUGCGUAGAUAUUAGGAGGAACACCAGUGGCGAAGGCGGUCUGCUAGACAGCAACUGACGGUGAGGCGCGAAAGCGUGGGGAGCAAACAGGAUUAGAUACCCGGGUAGUC